AAGGAUGUAGCUCAAUGGUGGAGCUUGUGCUUACCAUGCUCAAUGGUUUGGGUUUGAUCCCCAGCACUGUUA
rfam:Fukomys damarensis contig117925, whole genome shotgun sequence.